rnacentral:rRNA from 1 species
AACGCGAAGAACCUUACCUACCCUUGACAUCCUUGGAAUCUUCUAGAGAUAGAAGAGUGCCUUCGGGAACCAAGUGACAGGUGCUGCAUGGCUGUCGUCAGCUCGUGUCGUGAGAUGUUGGGUUAAGUCCCGUAACGAGCGCAACCCUUAUCCUUAGUUGCCAGCACGUAAAGGUGGGAACUCUAAGGAGACUGCCAGUGAUAAACUGGAGGAAGGCGAGGACGAUGUCAAGUCAUCAUGGCCCUUACGGGUAGGGCUACACACGUGCUACAAUGGGCAGUACAAAGGGUGGCAAUACCGCGAGGUGGAGCGAAUCCCAUAAAGCUGCUCUCAGUCCAGAUUGGAGUCUGCAACUCGACUCCAUGAAGUCGGAAUCGCUAGUAAUCGUGGAUCAGAAUGCCGCGGUGAAUACGUUCCCGGGCCUUGUACACACCGACUGUAC